rnacentral:tRNA from 2 species
GGAGCAGUGGCAGAGUGGUUGAUCGCGACGGUCUUGAAAACCGUUUUACCGAAAGGUAACGGGGGUUCGAAUCCCUCCUGCUCCG